rnacentral:rRNA from 1 species
UACGAAGGGGGCUAGCUUUGUUCGGAAUUACUGGGCGUAAAGGGCGCGUAGGCUGUGCUGUAAGUCAGGCGUGAAAGCCCCGGGCUCAACCUGGGAAUUGCGCUUGAUACUGCGGCGCUGGAAGGUGGGAGAGGAUGGCGGAAUUCCCAGUGUAGAGGUGAAAUUCGUAGAUAUUGGGAAGAACACCGGUGGCGAAGGCGGCCAUCUGGCCCACAUUUGACGCUGAGGCGCGAAAGCGUGGGGAGCAAACAG